rnacentral:rRNA from 1 species
UAGAGGCCUUCCAAGACCGUGAGGUGGAGCUAAUCCCUUAAAGCUNGUCUCAGUUCGGAUCGGGGUCUGCNACUCGACCCCGUGAAGUCGGAGUCGCUAGUAAUCGCAGAUCAGCAACGCUGCGGUGAAUACGUUCCCGGGCCUUGUACACACCCCCCCUCACGUCAUGAAAGUCGGUAACACCCGAACCGGUGGCUUAACCCCUUGUGGGAGGGAGCCGUCGAAGGUGGGAUCCGGCGAUUGGG